rnacentral:rRNA from 1 species
GUCGUACAAGGUCUCCGUUGGUGAACCAGCGGAGGGAUCAUUG